CUAACAAUCGUCGUUGUUAAAACCACGCGCAAAGUUUAAUGAUAAUUAUUAACUAAUUAUCGAUUCAAAACGAAAUUGUAUUGUUUAUGUGGUAAAAUGAAAUUGGUUUAAUUACUUAAUGGUUUAAUCUGAUCAAAAAGCUAACGUUGUAAGUUGUUGGAAGCUCGUCAGAUGUAAUCUCACAUAUCAUAUGAUGGAGUGAUUGUCAAAUGUGGCGGCAUUAUUUGAUAGGUGUAAUGCCAUAGGUAAUUGCAUCUGAGGAAUUUCCAACCAGUCGGAACGUUAAUUGGAGCCACAUAAUGGCUCCAAACACUUUCCAAACAGUUAUUCUG